AGUGAACGCUGGCGGUAGGCCUAACACAUGCAAGUCGAACGGCAGCACAGUAAAAGCUUGCUCUUACGGGUGGCGAGUGGCGGACGGGUGAGGAAUACAUCGGAAUCUACUUUUUCGUGGGGGAUAACGUAGGGAAAAUUACGCUAAUACCGCAUACGACCUACGGGUGAAAGCAGGGGAUCUUCGGACCUUGCGCGAUUGAAUGAGCCGAUGUCGGAUUAGCUAGUUGGCGGGGUAAAGGCCCACCAAGUCGACGAUCCGUAGCUGGUCUGAGAGGAUGAUCAGCCACACUGGAACUGAGACACGGCCCAGACUCCUACGGGAGGCAGCAGUGGGGAAUAUUGGACAAUGGGCGCAAGCCUGCUCCAGCCAUACCGCGUGGGUGAAGAAGGCCUUCGGGUUGUAAAGCCCUUUUGUUGGGAAAGAAAGGCAGCAGGUUAAUACCCCGCUGUUCUGACGGUACCCAAAGAAUAAGCACCGGCUAACUUCGUG
rnacentral:rRNA from 1 species